GGCGGACGGGUGAGUAACGCGUAAGAACUUGCCCUUUAGACUGGGAUAACAGAGGGAAACUUCUGAUAAUACUGGAUAAGUUAGUAUAUCGCAUGAUAUGCAAAUGAAAGCUACGGCACUAAAGGAGAGCUUUGCGUCCUAUUAGCUAGUUGGUAAGGUAAGAGCUUACCAAGGCGAUGAUCAGUAGGGGUUCUGAGAGGAAGGUCCCCCACAUUGGAACUGAGACACGGUCCAAACUCCUACGGGAGGCAGCAGCG
rnacentral:rRNA from 1 species